GCUGCAACCUACGGGGUGUACUUGGGAACGAGGGGUGAAGCGGCCCAGGUGAGGCUCGCCAUGGCCAAACAGCUGCAGGCCCGAAGGCUAGACGGGAUCGACUACAACCCCUGGGUGGAGUUUGUGAAACUGGCCAGUGAGCAUGACGUCGUGAACUUGGGCCAGGGCUUCCCGGAUUUCCCACCACCAGACUUUGCCGUGGAAGCCUUUCAGCACGCUGUCAGUGGAGACUUCAUGCUUAACCAGUACACCAAGACAUUUGGUUACCCACCACUGACGAAGAUCCUGGCAAGUUUCUUUGGGGAGCUGCUGGGUCAGGAGAUAGACCCGCUCAGGAAUGUGCUGGUGACUGUUGGUGGCUAUGGGGCCCUGUUCACAGCCUUCCAGGCCCUGGUGGACGAAGGAGACGAGGUCAUCAUCAUCGAACCCUUUUUUGACUGCUACGAGCCCAUGACAAUGAUGGCAGGGGGUCGUCCUGUGUUUGUGUCCCUGAAGCCGGGUCCCAUCCAGAAUGGAGAACUGGGUUCCAGCAGCAACUGGCAGCUGGACCCCAUGGAGCUGGCCGGCAAAUUCACAUCACGCACCAAAGCCCUGGUCCUCAACACCCCCAACAACCCCCUGGGCAAGGUGUUCUCCAGGGAAGAGCUGGAGCUGGUGGCCAGCCUUUGCCAGCAGCAUGACGUGGUGUGUAUCACUGAUGAAGUCUACCAGUGGAUGGUCUACGACGGGCACCAGCACAUCAGCAUUGUCUCAGCAGCUGUUCUGUUCGGCCUUGGGCAGCCAGCCUCCCUGGCAUGUGGGAACGGACCCUGACCAUCGGCAGCGCCGGCAAGACCUUCAGCGCCACUGGCUGGAAGGUGGGCUGGGUCCUGGGUCCAGAUCACAUCAUGAAGCACCUGCGGACCGUGCACCAGAACUCCGUCUUCCACUGCCCCACGCAGAGCCAGGCUGCAGUAGCCGAGAGCUUUGAACGGGAGCAGCUGCUCUUCCGCCAACCCAGCAGCUACUUUGUGCAGUUCCCGCAGGCCAUGCAGCGCUGCCGUGACCACAUGAUACGUAGCCUACAGUCAGUGGGCCUGAAGCCCAUCAUCCCUCAGGGCAGCUACUUCCUCAUCACAGACAUCUCAGACUUCAAGAGGAAGAUGCCUGACUUGCCUGGAGCUGUGGAUGAGCCCUAUGACAGACGCUUCGUCAAGUGGAUGAUCAAGAACAAGGGCUUGGUGGCCAUCCCUGUCUCCAUCUUCUAUAGUGUGCCACAUCAGAAGCACUUUGACCACUAUAUCCGCUUCUGUUUUGUGAAGGAUGAAGCCACGCUCCAGGCCAUGGACGAGAAGCUGCGGAAGUGGAAGGUGGAACUCUAGCCCUGAAGUCACGCCUUGGCCCUGACAUCCCCACAUGCCCGCAGAGAUCCUCUUUGAGUGUCUGUCUUUGUCCAGGUUUCAGACAUUUCUAGGUUGGGGAAGAUGCUAUUGGGAAACCUCUUCUCCGUGACACAGAAUGUUCUGGGUGGGAGCCGCCCUUCUUCAUCUUAGAGAACCAAGUGCCUCCUGUCUGAAAGGUGAGGGUGGCCUGACCUGGGCCUCUCCCUGCCCCUCCAUAGGUGGGUUUGUAGGGUCUUGUGUUGCUUCUGGUCUCUCCAGGCUUGGCUGAGACGGACGGUAGACUUCCACCAUGUACCGAUCACAUCCCAGCUCUGCAUGGCCCCUGCUAAGGCUCAGAGGGGGGCUCCGAGCCAUCCAAAAUUCAGCACAGUACCCGCGAUGCCGCCUAUUUGGACACCUACUCUGCCCAACCUACUCCAGCCCGCGUACCCCUGCAGCCCGUCGGGCGCCCAGGCCACGCCCCUGGGCGAUAUUGGCUCUCCGAUUGGACAGCUUAAUGGAGGUGUGGCCGGAAGAGGCGAGUCUCAUUGGCAGAGGCGGGACCGACGGUGUGUGCGGAACAUGGCGGAGCGCGGCAGGAAGCGGCCGUGCGGCCCGGGUGAACACGGCCAAAGGAUUGAGUGGCGAAAAUGGAAGCAACAGAAGAAAGAGGAGAAAAAAAAAUGGAAGGAUCUCAAGCUGAUGAAAAAACUGGAGCGGCAGCGGGCACAGGAGGAACAGGCAAAGCGCCUGGAAGAGGAGGAGGCAGCGGCAGAGAAGGAGGACCGCGGGCGGCCCUACACACUGAGCGUAGCCCUGCCGGGCUCCAUCCUGGACAAUGCUCAGUCGCCGGAGCUUCGCACCUACUUGGCCGGUCAGAUUGCCAGAGCCUGUGCCAUCUUCUGUGUGGAUGAGAUCGUGGUGUUUGAUGAGGAGGGCCAGGAUGCCAAGACUGUGGAGGGGGAAUUCACAGGAGUUGGGAAGAAGGGGCAGGCGUGCGUACAGCUGGCCCGGAUCCUGCAGUACCUGGAGUGUCCACAGUACCUGAGGAAGGCGUUCUUCCCCAAGCACCAGGAUCUACAGUUUGCAGGGCUCCUGAACCCCCUGGACAGCCCCCACCACAUGCGUCAGGAUGAGGAAUCCGAGUUCCGAGAGGGCAUCGUGGUGGAUCGGCCCACCCGGCCAGGCCACGGCUCCUUUGUCAACUGUGGCAUGAAAAAGGAGGUGAAGAUUGACAAGAACCUGGAGCCCGGGCUUCGGGUGACUGUGCGACUGAACCAGCAGCAGCACCCAGACUGCAAGACCUACCAUGGCAAAGUGGUAUCAUCGCAGGACCCUCGCACCAAAGCUGGUCUCUACUGGGGCUACACCGUCCGACUGGCUUCCUGCCUCAGUGCUGUGUUUGCUGAGGCCCCCUUCCAAGAUGGGUAUGACCUGACCAUCGGGACGUCAGAGCGCGGCUCAGAUGUGGCCUCUGCCCAGCUUCCCAACUUCAGGCAUGCUCUUGUGGUGUUCGGGGGCCUCCAGGGUCUGGAAGCUGGAGCGGAUGCUGACCCCAACCUGGAGGUGGCUGAACCCAGUGUCCUCUUUGACCUGUACGUCAAUACCUGUCCUGGCCAGGGUAGCCGUACCAUCCGCACGGAGGAAGCCAUCCUCAUCUCCCUGGCCGCCCUGCAGCCUGGCCUCAUCCAGGCGGGUGCCCGGCACACCUGAAAGUUCUAAGGGGCCGAGGACAUCAGUGAAGCAGCAGUGAAACCAGGGGCUCUGCAGGUCACUUGGGACGGACGCCACCAGACUUGUCUCCAAAAAUCACCACCUUUAAUACUCCCCGGCCUGCACACACCCACAGUCUCACUGGGCUCCACCCUCACUUACUGCCCGCCGUGAUGGCCUUGAGGCUGCCUGCCCGCGCCAGGAUGUUUGGCACAAAGAGCAGCCCCGAAGCCCGCUCAAUGCUCUCGAUGGGCACCAGGAAGCGCUCCAGUGGGAUGGCCUCAUCCACAGGUGCGUUGGGCAUCACGUAGGUGCGGAGCUCAAUUUGCCCACCUGCUGCCUCCAGGAUCAGCACCUUGAAGAAGUGUGUGGGCACUGCCACGUGGUUCUUGCCGAUGACCUGGUACUUUACGUAGGAUUUCCCAUCAGCCUCUGUCCUGUGGGCAGACCCAGGCACACGUGGGCAGGGGGCCUGGAUGAACCCAAAGCCACCUCUUCCAGGCAGCCUUCCCUGAUCUGUCCUCUAACUUCUGUCAACCUGCAGGACCACGCCCUCACUGUGAGACUUCUGUAGCCUGCCUGGCUCCUCCUUGAGGCUGGAACUCUCUCCAGGGUGGUUAACUCUUUCCCUCUGUUUUCCUUAUGCCCAACACUGGGUCAGGCAGAGUGGGCGACAAUAAACGCUGCUAGGAGAAUCGAGCCUUCUGAAUAUUCACAUUCGUCUGAGGGGAGACUUAACGACUGUCCAUCUCUCCCCACAGAGGUGAGCAACAAGUGGGCAAGGACCAUGACAGGUGAUAUCCCAGCACCAGCACAGGUGCCAGGACACCGGACGGGGGCUCCCCCUCAGCAGAGUCUCCUCCCUUCCACCAGGCCCUAGGAGGCACCUGCUAAUGAAAUUUGAUCAGUGCCCCAACCACCGCCUUGGCCAGCCUAUGCCGAGCCCUUACCAUGGACCAGGCCCUGGGGAAGCAUGUGACAUCAACCAAGAGGUCACAGGUUUUGCAGAGGGGGACACAGGUCAUUUGCCCACAGCACCAAGGAACUAGGUGAUGAGGCCUGGACUCCAUCCCGAGCCUGUGGAUUCCAGAGUGAGCUGCUCAGCCUGGACCUGUUGCCUCUCAGCCCCAGCCCUCUGCAGGCCAGAAAAACCACGGAGCACACCCAGAGGUGCUCAGUUGCUUCCACCUGAGAGGCAGGGCUGCACAGGAGCAAGAGUGGAGGCCCUGGGUCAGGCAGAUCUAGAUUCAAACUCCCGAGAAGGGUGGAGGGAAGUGCUCCAAGCAGAGCAGAGACUGAAGGCGGGAGAGCCUGGUGCACCGCGGACCUGCAGGGGGAAGGCAUGAGAGCUCGGUGCACUGGGGACCUGCAUGGGGAAGGCGGGAGAGCUCGGUGCACUGGGGACCUGCAUGGGGAAGGCGUGAGAGCUCGGUGCACUGGGGACCUGCAUGGGGAAGGCGGGAGAGCUCGGUGCACCUCGGACCUGCAGAGGGAAGGUGGGAGAGCUUGGUGCACCGCAGACCUGCAGGGGGAAGGCGGGAGAGCUUGGUGCACUGCAGACCUGCGGGGGGAAGGUGGGAGAGCUUGGUGCACUGCAGACCUGCGGGGGGUUCCAUAUUGGCAGAACAAGAUUGGGUGGGCAUGCCAAGAGGUGACAGCAGGGAGAAGCGGGGGCAGAUUCAGGGCCUGCUGCUGCCCAUGGGCAGAGGAGAGAUGGUCAGGGGUACCCGACAGGUCUUUGGCUGUGGAGGUGGAAUGAGGGGACUCGAGGCAGGGAAGCUGACAGGCUUGCCAAGAAACCAGAUGAGUAGGGAACUGGUAUUGACCCAGAGCCUGGGGCAAGCCUGGCCCUGUGAGUGGCAGUAGGGGCCUCAGGUGAGUGGGAGGUUCUGCCGCCCCCCUGGUUUCCACCUUACCUGGGCAGGAAGAGUGGCCCUGUGCAGACAUAGACGUUUUGGUAGCUGCGGGUCAAGCUGCGGCUAUAUUUCUCCAGGUUGUUCCAGGCAUUCUGGUUGAGGUGGGGCACCUGGUAGGAGAGAUAGGGCUUAGCAGGACUGUGGCUGGGACCCUUCCUCCUCUAUCAGAGGGCCGCCCCAGGUCCUGAGGGGAUGGACAGGCUCAGAGAUAUCCAGUGAGACAAGCGGGGGGAAACUGAGGCUCAAGGAAUGAAAGUCACUCCCUGAAACCCAGGGCUGAUAGAGUGCUAGCCACCACCCUCUGUCCCUCCCACAGCCCAGGUGUCAAAGUCUUUUCUCAGCUCCCAAGAGUCGAAUGAAGGAAGAGCCUGUCUCCACCUUUCAGAGAGGACUGAGGCCUGUCCCCAGCCCCACCCAGGGUCUCCUGGGAAGACCAGCCCUUCCAACUACCAACCCGUUCCUUUUCCCAGUCUGAGCCACAGGAAGAGCCUAGCGGGGAAUGCCAUGAAUCGACCUCCAUCCUGAGCUCUCCAGGCCUGGGACAAUGGAAAGUGGAUAGGGGGCUGUCUUCCCAGAAGGAAGCUGGGUCAGAGGUUGGUGCCCCAUGGGCUCCACCCAGAGCCCCAUGGCAGUCUCCAUCCAUUGGUGCCAGGACCUGCUGGGAACAGGCUGAGAGGGUGGUUGGCCCAGUGCACAGUGCCUGGCACUAACAACCUGAUCGUGGGCCAGGUGUCUGCCUCGAAACUGCCUGAAGGCAGGCAGGGUAGGACAAUGUCUGGAGGCUCACGGUUUUAUAGACUAGGGGUCCCCAACCCCUGGGCUACAGACCGGUACCAGAACCGGGCCACACAGCAGGAGGUGAGCAGCAGGCGAGCAAGGGAAGCUUCAUCUGUAUUUACAGCCACCCCCCCAUUGAUCCCACAGCAGCCUGAGCUCCGCCUCCUGUCAGAUCAGUGGCGGCUGGAGAUUGUCAUAGGAGCUGGAACCCUAUGGUGAACUGCGCAUGUGAGGAGGUUGCGCGCUUCUUUUGAAAACCUAAUGCCUGAUCUGUCGUUGUUGCCCAUCACCUCCAGAUAGGACUGUCUAGUUGCAGGAAAACAAGCUCAGGGCUCCCACGGAUCCUACAUUACUGUGAGUUGUAUAUUUCACUAUAUGUUACAAUGUAAUAAUAAUAGAAAUAAAAUGUACAUAAAUGUAA